rnacentral:rRNA from 1 species
CAGCCGCCGCGGUAAUACGUAGGGUGCAAGCGUUAAUCGGAAUUACUGGGCGUAAAGCGUGCGCAGGCGGUUAUAUAAGACAGAUGUGAAAUCCCCGGGCUCAACCUGGGAACUGCAUUUGUGACUGUAUAGCUAAAGUACGGCAGAGGGGGAUGGAAUUCCGCGUGUAGCAGUGAAAUGCGUAGAUAUGCGGAGGAACACCGAUGGCGAAGGCAAUCCCCUGGGCCUGUACUGACGCUCAUGCACGAAAGCGUGGGGAGCAAACAGGAUUAGAUACCCGAGUAGUCCCUGUCUCUUAUAC